GACGAACGCUGGCGGCGUGCUUAACACAUGCGAGUCGAACGGAAAGGCCCUGCUUUUGUGGGGUGCUCGAGUGGCGAACGGGUGAGUAACACGUGAGUAACCUGCCCUUGACUUUGGGAUAACUUCAGGAAACUGGGGCUAAUACCGGAUAGGAGCUCCUGCUGCAUGGUGGGGGUUGGAAAGUUUCGGCGGUUGGGGAUGGACUCGCGGCUUAUCAGCUUGUUGGUGGGGUAGUGGCUUACCAAGGCUUUGACGGGUAGCCGGCCUGAGAGGGUGACCGGCCACAUUGGGACUGAGGUACGGCCCAGACUCCUACGGGAGGCAGCAGUGGGGAAUAUUGCACAAUGGGCGGAAGCCUGAUGCAGCAACGCCGCGCGUGGGAUGACGGCCUUCGGGUUGUAAACCGCUUUCGCCUGUGACGAAGCGUGAGUGACGGUAAUGGGUAAAGAAGCACCGGCUAACUACGUG
rnacentral:rRNA from 1 species